AAGCCAUGAUGUGGACACUGGUUUGUGUAACUCCUAAACCUUUCCCAAGCUUCCCCAAACCUGAUCUCCGGCAACGGCUCCAAUUGAUAACUAAAAGUUUUAAGCUC
rfam:Eutrema salsugineum unplaced genomic scaffold scaffold_4, whole genome shotgun sequence.